AUUGAACGCUGGCGGCAGGCUUAACACAUGCAAGUCGAACGGAGUGGCGGACGGGUGAGUAAUACCUAGGAAUCUGCCUGGUAGUGGGGGAUAACGUUCGGAAACGGACGCUAAUACCGCAUACUAUCAGAUGAGCCUAGGUCGGAUUAGCUAGUUGGUGAGGUAAUGGCUCACCAAGGCUACGAUCCGUAACUGGUCUGAGAGGAUGAUCAGUCACACUGGAACUGAGACACGGUCCAGACUCCUACGGGAGGCAGCAGUGGGGAAUAUUGGACAAUGGGCGAAAGCCUGAUCCAGCCAUGCCGCGUGUGUGAAGAAGGUCUUCGGAUUGUAAAGCACUUUAAGUUGGGAGGCGUUACCGACAGAAUAAGCACCGGCUAACUCUGUGCCAGCAGCCGCGGUAAUAC
rnacentral:rRNA from 1 species